CUGGUUCUGAGUCUCCCCAGGCUCUCACACGCACUGUAUUGCCAAAAUGUCUCUUUCUAGCAAGCUGACUCUGGACAAGCUGGACGUGAAGGGGAAGUGGGUCGUUAUGAGAGUGGACUUCAAUGUUCCCAUGAAGAACAACCAGAUAACAAACAACCAGAGGAUCAAAGCUGCAGUCCCAAGCAUCAAAUUCUGCUUGGACAGUGGAACCAAGUCAGUUGUACUUAUGAGCCAUCUGGGCCAGCCUGAUGGUGUCCCCAUGCCUGACAAGUAUUCCCUAGAGCCAGCUGCCAUAGAACUCAAAUCUCUGCUGAGCAAGGAUGUUCUGUUCUUGGAGGACUGUGUAGUUCCAGAGGUGGAGAAAACUUGUGCCAACCCAGCUGCUGGGUCGUCCUCCUGCUAGAGAACCUCCGCUUUCAUGUGGAGGAAGAAGGGAAGGGAAAAGAUGCUUCUGGGAACAAGGUUAAAGCUGAACCAGCUAAAAUAGAAGCUUUCUGAGCUUCACUUUCCAAGCUAGGGGAUGUCUAUGUCAAUGAUGCUUUUGGCACUGCUCACCAAGCCCACAGCUCCAUGGUGGGAGUUAAUCUGCCAGAGAAGGCUGGUGGGUUUUUGAUGAAGAAGGAACUGAACUACUUUGCCAAGGCCUUGGAGAGCCCAGAGCAACCCUUCCUGGCCAUCUUGGGCAGAGCUAAAGUUGCAGACAAGAUCCAGUUGAUCAAGAAUAUGCUGGACAAAGUCAAUGAAAUGAUUAUUGAUGGUGAAAUGGCUUCUACCUUCCUUAAAGUGCUCAACAACAUGGAGAUUGGCACUUCUCUGUUUGAUGAAGAAGGAGCCAAGAUUGUUAAAGACCUAAUAUCCAAAGCUGAGAAAAAUGGUGUGAGAAUCACCUUGCCUAUUGACUUUGUCACUGCUGACAAGUUUGAUGAGAAUGCCAUGACUGGCCAAGCCACUGUGGAUUCUGGCAUACCUGAUGGCUGGAUGGACUUGGGCUGUGGUCCUGACAGCAGCAAGAAGUAUGCUGAAGCUGUCUCUUCAGCUAAGCAGAUUGUAUGGAACAGACCUGUAGGGGUAUUUGAAUGGGAAGCUUUUGCCCGGGGAACCAAAGCCCUCAUGGAUGAGGUCGUGAAAGCCACUUCUAGAGGCUGCAUCACCAUCAUUGGUGGUGGAGACACUGCCACUUGCUGUGCCAAAUGGAACACGGAGGAUAAAGUCAACCAUGUGAGCACUGGGGGUGGUGCCAGGUUAAAGCUCCUGGAAGGUGAAGUCCUUCCUGGGGUGGACGCCCUCAGCAAUAUUUAGUACUUUCCUGCCUUUUGGUUCCUGUGCACAGCUGCUAAGUCAACUUAGCAUUAUCUGCAUCUCUCCUUUGCAUUAGCUGAAAGCUCAUUCACGUCAAGAUUUAGCUAUUGUCCAAGAGAUACAGUGCCAGGAACUUAGACACAGUUGCACAGCAUCUCAACUCAUCUUUACUGCACCCUGGAUUUGCCUAUAUUCUUCAAGAUCCUGUUUGAAUUUCUUAGUAACUAAACCAUUGUGCAUUCUAGAGUGCGAAUAUUUAUAUUUGGCCUGUUAAAAGAAAGUGAGUUGUGUUAGUUAGCUUAGUUCUCUUUUAGAAGUAGCUUAUUCUGGUUAGCUUUGUCACUGUUUCACUACUCAGCAUGGAAACAAGAUGAAUUCCAGUUGAAGGUAGGGAGACAAAGUCCAUGAUCUGUUAAAUAAACAAUUAAAGCAUCCAUUGAAAC